CCUACGGGAGGCAGCAGUGGGGAAUAUUGGGCAAUGGGCGCAAGCCUGACCCAGCAACGCCGCGUGAAGGAAGAAGGCUUUCGGGUUGUAAACUUCUUUUCUCAGGGACGAAGCAAGUGACGGUACCUGAGGAAUAAGCCACGGCUAACUACGUGCCAGCAGCCCCGGGAAUACGUAGGUGGCAAGCGUUAUCCGGAUUUACUGGGUGUAAAGGGCGUGUAGGCGGGAAAGCAAGUCAGAUGUGAAAACCAUGGGCUCAACCUGUGGCCUGCAUUUGAAACUGUUUUUCUUGAGUACUGGAGAGGCAGACGGAAUUCCUAGUGUAGCGGUGAAAGGCGUAGAUAUUAGGAGGAACACCAGUGGCGAAGGCGGCCUGCUGGACGACAACGGACGGUGAGGCGCGAAAGCGUGGGGAGCAAACAGGAUUAGAUACCCUGGUAGUC
rnacentral:rRNA from 1 species